rnacentral:rRNA from 1 species
UACGUAGGAGGCAAGCGUUGUCCGGAAUCACUGGGCGUAAAGAGCGUGUAGGCGGUCUGCCAAGUCUGUUGUGAAAGCGCCUGGCUUAACUGGGCGAGGUCGACGGAAACUGGUGAACUUGAGGACGAGAGAGGAACAUGGAACUCCAGGUGUAGUAGUGAAAUGCGUAGAUAUCUGGAAGAACACCGAUGGCGAAGGCAAUGUUCUGGCUCGUUUCUGACGCUCAGGUGCGAAAGCCAGGGGAGCGAACGGG